AGAGUUUGAUCCUGGCUCAGGACGAACGCUGGCGGCGUGCUUAACACAUGCAAGUCGAGCGGGCGUAGCAAUACGUCAGCGGCAGACGGGUGAGUAACGCGUGGGAACGUACCUUUUGGUUCGGAACAACACAGGGAAACUUGUGCUAAUACCGGAUAAGCCCUUACGGGGAAAGAUUUAUCGCCGAAAGAUCGGCCCGCGUCUGAUUAGCUAGUUGGUGAGGUAAUGGCUCACCAAGGCGACGAUCAGUAGCUGGUCUGAGAGGAUGAUCAGCCACAUUGGGACUGAGACACGGCCCAAACUCCUACGGGAGGCAGCAGUGGGGAAUAUUGGACAAUGGGGGCAACCCUGAUCCAGCCAUGCCGCGUGAGUGAUGAAGGCCCUAGGGUUGUAAAGCUCUUUUGUGCGGGAAGAUAAUGACGGUACCGCAAGAAUAAGCCCCGGCUAACUUCGUGCCAGCAGCCGCGGUAAUACGGAGGAUGCAAGCGUUAUCCGGAAUGAUUGGGCGUAAAGCGUCCGCAGGUGGCAUAUCAAGUCUGCGGUUAAAGGUUCUGGCUCAACCAGAGACAGGCCGUGGAAACUGAUAAGCUAGAGUAUGGUAGGGGCAGAGGGAAUUCCCAGUGUAGCGGUGAAAUGCGUAGAGAUUGGGAAGAACACCGGUGGCGAAAGCGCUCUGCUAGGCCAAAACUGACACUGAGGGACGAAAGCUAGGGGAGCGAAUGGGAUUAGAUACCCCAGUAGUCCUAGCCGUAAACGAUGGAUACUAGGUGUAGCUUGUAUCGACCCAAGCUGUGCCGUAGCUAACGCGUUAAGUAUCCCGCCUGGGGAGUACGCGCGCAAGCGUGAAACUCAAAGGAAUUGACGGGGGCCCGCACAAGCGGUGGAGUAUGUGGUUUAAUUCGAUGCAACGCGAAGAACCUUACCUGGUCUUGACAUGUCAAGAAGUCUGCAGAGAUGCGGAUGUGCCUUCGGGAACUUGAACACAGGUGCUGCAUGGCUGUCGUCAGCUCGUGUCGUGAGAUGUUGGGUUAAGUCCCGCAACGAGCGCAACCCUUGUCAUUAGUUGCUACGUAAGGGCACUCUAAUGAGACUGCCGGUGACAAACCGGAG
rnacentral:rRNA from 1 species